CCAGGAGACCAAUCCCGAUCAAAAUCCUCGGUGGAUUCGGCUCGGAUCUUGCACCUCUCGCACUCCCACCUCCAUAUAAAUAUUCCCAAGUCUGACUCUUCCGAUUUUUGCAAAAAUCUCCUGCUCCCGUGCCUAUCUCGCCCGUACCAGAAGAUCGAAUCUCGCCGGAGUUUCACCGCUGCUGACCUCCGCCGUCGUCGUUUUCGUCGCCUACAGGGAGUACCGAACCGAGCGCAAGGACCUCGAUCCAAAGAUCACGGCCACCGCCCGAGCUCCAGCCAUCCUCUGCCGUCAACCCCGUUCGCCACCGACGCCGCUGAGGAUUUCUUCGAGACCGCAGCAGAGCUCCGCGUCCCGUACGCUACACGCUGGAGUCUGGAGACCACCUGAACAGGCGCCACCAUCGCCGCCCGAGCCGCCGGUGUCGUUCUUCUCCAACUCCGGUGACGCCUCAACCUGUUAACUCCGAUUGUCCGGAGUGCGAAGCGGAUCAGAAUUAAUCGUUAGAGUACUUCAACACCGUUCAAGG